rnacentral:rRNA from 1 species
UACGUAGGGUGCAAGCGUUGUCCGGAAUUAUUGGGCGUAAAGAGCUCGUAGGCGGUUUGUCGCGUCGGCUGUGAAAACCUGGGGCUUAACUCCGGGCCUGCAGCCGAUACGGGCAGACUAGAGUUCGGCAGGGGAGACUGGAAUUCCUGGUGUAGCGGUGAAAUGCGCAGAUACCAGGAGGAACACCGGUGGCGAAGGCGGGUCUCUGGGCCGAUACUGACGCUGAGGAGCGAAAGCGUGGGGAGCGAACAGG